rnacentral:lncRNA from 1 species
UAUUUUGUGGCCUGCGAAAAAAAAAUUCAUGAGCCAUUCCACUCUGUGAAGGUGGAUGACCAGGGAAGCCGUUUAGCACACGACGCAGAGGUGACACACAAUUUUGAACAAAGGUACGAACAUAUUUAUUGUCCUGAUCGGUGGUCAUCGUUACGAUAGGUGGGCACGCACCUUCGAGUAUCACCUCUGUUUUUAAAUGCGUCCGUCACGUAAGACAACGAAUGGCUCAUACCUCCUUAAGCAAUGGC